UUCGGCUGGUAGCAUCGAGUCCGGCUGGUCAUCGGUUCGACGUGGCAGCGGCGCCGCUCAUCGACGCUCACUUUCGGCUUUACCGCACCAAACAACUCGUGCCGCACGAAGAGGUGUACGUGUUUCGUACGAACAAUCGGAAGGGGCCAAGAACUGUAGUUUGUGUGUGGCGGUAGUUUCUUUAAACGUGGACGGUAGUGCGAUUUCCGCCGGAGCUGCAUGAGCCGACGCUGGUCGUCUGUGAGGAACCAUCGUCUGGCUGUCGGGAAAGCAGGCAUCAGCUACCGCAAUGCUUACCUGCCACAACGAGAUCGCACGUAUCUGGUUCGUGUAUGGAUAUAAAGCAGGCGCCCAGAACCCCGAACCAGCCCCUUAGAAGAGACCUCGGUUGUGAUCCUGGCGUACCUCCAUCCAGCAUGGUACUUUUGGAUAGCCCUCGUGGUGAUACUGGCAUCCGCAGUGGCCCUGACCGUGCUCUGCAUCCUGUGCUGUCGGAGGCCGCGGCGCAAGUCUCCCGCCUUGCACGUCCCCGCUGCAACUCUGCCUGCAGCAGCGCUGA
rnacentral:lncRNA from 1 species